CGCGCGCCGAGCUCGUGUCCUGUCUGCGCCUGCGCCUCGGGCCCGCGGUCAAGGUGUACGCAGCCGUGUGCCUGCUGCGCGAAACAUGCGCGGCGGCCACGUGAUGCCAGGAGUUGCGCGAGCGCGCCCUGCACAUCAUCGUCUGAUUUUGUGCUAUGGACUACAACUGUGUCAUGCGUGACACAUCACGUGACUAUCCACUGCCACGUUAUCUAUUCUAGAUGAGGACAAUAUCACAAUAUUCUGCUAAACAUUGUCUGAGUGUUGUGAACACUUAUUGUGUUGCGAAAAAUGUGUUGUGUUUGCCACAGGCCGAAAAGAUUAUGGCGUGAUAACCGAUUUGUAACGCGUCCUGUGUUACGGACUACAGAAUACCGCACCUAUCUUUGAGUGUGCCCCUUUGCUGUGAACACUAGUGUUGUGUCAAACUGUGCUGUGUUAACCAUAGGCCGAGGGAUUAGUUACUAGGCAUUUUACUCAGGGCAGUAAAAUACGUUACUUCUAUAGUGUUGCGUCGUAAAACUGUGCUAAUCAUAGACAAAGGUGAUCAGUCCACUGCCGCGCUCUAUAUUCUGAAAUAUACAAUGCAAGACCUCUUGCAAUAAAUCAUUGCCCAAAUCCACUUGCGUUUACCAUAGAUGUUAGGAAGAUUGAACAUACAAUGUGACUAGUGGUUAACAAAAGUCUUGAAACAUAUUGUAUAGUAUAUUAUUGUCUAAAAUUUCAAUUAGACUAUUGGUGUGGUGAAGUCAGUUGCAUAUAUCACUUGAACAUUUUAUUAAUGUUGUUUGUUCUGAACAUCCCUGUUUAGAAUUUAGAUGACUAUUUGACUUGUUUAGGAUAAUAAUGUUGUGUACAGUAUAUGGACUUUGAAUUGCCCAGAGGCAUUUGGUUUAUUUUACUAUUUCCAAUUGAUGUUAUGUUCUACAAAAUCAUUUUUGAUGGUGGGUGAUCUUCUGUGAUGACAGUAUUAAAAUAAUCUUACUUACCAGUUAACUUUCCAAAUUAAAGUUAAUUGUAUGCACAAUUUUGUUAGGGUCAUACAACAUCCCUCAAUAAUUUGCAUAAUACCUUGACACUGAUACUAGGAAAAAUCUGUAAAAUCUUAAAUCAUGCUUUAAAUUAUGGGGUUGUGAAUAUGCAAUCUUUUUGUGUCAUGUCCACAAUUGUUUGUAAUGUUAGAUAAUCUAAAGAAACAAAAAUUUUAUUGUAGAAUAAUUUUCAAUCAUUCGAGAACUGUAGAAAAUCUAUUUUAAAUAAAAAUCUAAAUUAAGUAAGAAAAUUAAAAUAUAUUGCAGGGUUCUAUCAUUGUCAGGGCUGGAUAAUGUUUUGGGAUUAAAACCAAAGAGUGUAAAAAGCUGUAAUAUUUGUCUGCUUUAAAGGUCCUCAAGUUAAUUACUUGUUUUGAAAGUAUUAACUUUAUUUAGUAUAUUUUUAUGUGCUAUUAUUGUUCAUGCUAUGCUAAUUAAUUUAUGUGAUUAACAGCAGCUCACUCUUGACAAUUUGUAAAUACUAUUUACCCUAAGAUUCCUGUGCAAUUUAGUGAUACGAAAUUAAAUUUAUUGCGCCUAUCCUAUAUCAUACUUAGUUUUCCACUUUUUUGCAUGUUAUUAAACAUAGUUAAAGAAUUUGAAAUCUAAUGAUUACUUAAUCAUAGUCAUGGUAUUCCUUUUUUCCGAAAACCAUAAUAUUUUAUGAAAUCAUAAUACAUAGUUAUUUUUAUUUAAUUGUGUGCCUUCAGCAAGAGGCUUCUAUUAAUAAAGUCGUUCAUUUUAUAGAAUACUUUCUAGUUGUAAGUUUAAAAUAUAGCAAUACCUAUUUUUUUACAUUGAAGACAUGUAUUAUUUUAAUUAAUAUAUUCAAGCUUUUCUAGGAUCAAUGUUAUGUUCCAAUCGUUAAUUGGUAUAAUAAUAUAAAUGUGUGUAAUUUAAGUAGCAGUAAUUAUUUUUUUCAGGUCUUGAUGAAAUGACCAGUUUUUAGUUGGAUUGAGUUAAAAAAGUAGUCUAGUGUUAAUUAGAUCCUGAUUCAACCAUUCUGUUUCCAAAAUUGAUUUGUGUACUGAGUCAAUCUUUACCUGUAUAGAUUUACGGCUUUUAAAUUUCGAUGAGUUGUAAUAGGUAUUAUGUUUCUGAACAACUGUAAAUAGCGGUUCCUUAUAGGCUACUGAAGGUAUUUUUGUAGUGGCCAUGUACAAAGUGAGAUAAUACCUCUAGUGUAAGUUUUUACACCGCGUCUAGUGUAAGGAAAGUGCCAUUUCGAUUGGUACGAACUUCUAAACUGUUGUUCUGUAAUUUAAUAAAAAACUGAAAGUCA